rnacentral:rRNA from 1 species
UACGGAGGGUGCAAGCGUUAUCCGGAUUUACUGGGUUUAAAGGGUGCGUAGGUGGGCGAGAAAGUCAGUGGUGAAAUCUCCGGGCUUAACCCGGAAACUGCCAUUGAUACUAUUUGUCUUGAAUACUUUGGAGGUAAGCGGAAUAUGUCAUGUAGCGGUGAAAUGCUUAGAUAUGACAUAGAACACCAAUUGCGAAGGCAGCUCACUACACGAAUAUUGACACUGAGGCACGAAAGCGUGGGGAUCAAACAGG